GCCCAGAACUGAGCAGAAGCCAGUGCCAUACUCUUAGACCUCCAGAACCAUGAGCUAAGUAGACUUCUUCACAAAUUUCCCAGCCUCCGAUAUUUCAUUGCAGAAAUGGAAAACUGACCAACACAUCCCAUAUCUGAACGUCUCUGUCGGCACCUCUGGCUCUGAUGCACAGUGAACAUGCCCAUGUGCAAUAGAAAUCAGCCACACUGUAGAGGGACAUGAUGUUUGGAUCCAGUAGGACGUCGCGAACACUUUUUGAAAAGCAGACACCGUUUUGCCUCUCUGAUCUUCAGUUUCACAUCUGCAACAUGGGAUCAUUUCGCCAGCCUCCCCAAACCUUGUGCGGCAGCCAGGACAGCGCUGCCCCGUGGCAGGUGCUCAGGGAAUGAAAGCGGC
rnacentral:lncRNA from 1 species